GGCAGUGUAGCAUAGUGGUAAGGACCAGGGCUAGCAACCCAAAGGUUGCCGGUUCAACUCCCCACUGGGCCGCUGCUG